rnacentral:rRNA from 1 species
AGUGAACGCUGGCGGUAGGCCUAACACAUGCAAGUCGAACGGCAGCACAGUAAGAGCUUGCUCUUACGGGUGGCGAGUGGCGGACGGGUGAGGAAUACAUCGGAAUCUACUUUUUCGUGGGGGAUAACGUAGGGAAACUUACGCUAAUACCGCAUACGACCUACGGGUGAAAGCAGGGGAUCUUCGGACCUUGCGCGAUUGAAUGAGCCGAUGUCGGAUUAGCUAGUUGGCGGGGUAAAGGCCCACCAAGGCGACGAUCCGUAGCUGGUCUGAGAGGAUGAUCAGCCACACUGGAACUGAGACACGGUCCAGACUCCUACGGGAGGCAGCAGUGGGGAAUAUUGGACAAUGGGCGCAAGCCUGAUCCAGCCAUACCGCGUGGGUGAAGAAGGCCUUCGGGUUGUAAAACCCUUUUGUUGGGAAAGAAAAGCAGCAGGUUAAUACCCCACUGUUCUGACGGUACCCAAAGAAUAAGCACCGGCUAACUUCGUG